UACCUUGUUACGACUUCACCCCAAUCACGGCCACACCCUUGGUAGGCUGCCCCCUUGCGGUCAGCUCGCCUGCUUCUGGGUAUGACCACUUUCGUGGUGUGACGGGCGGUGUGUACAAGGCCCGGGAACGUAUUCACCGCAGCGUGCUGAUCUGCGAUUACUAGCGAUCCCAGCUUCAUGAAGUCGAGUUGCAGACUUCAAUCCGGACUGAGACAGUGUUUUUGGGAUUGGCUCCACCUCGCGGCUUCGCGACCCUUUGUCCCUGCCAUUGUAGUACGUGUGUAGCCCUGGACGUAAGGGCCAUGCGGACUUGACGUCAUCCCCGCCUUCCUCCGGUUUAACACCGGCAGUCUCCUCAGAGUGCCCAACUUAAUGGUAGCAACUAAGGACAAGGGUUGCGCUCGUUGCGGGACUUAACCCAACAUCUUACGACACGAGCUGACGACAGCCAUGCAGCACCUAUCACCCUGUCCCCGAAGGGAACCCUACAUUUCUGUACGUGUCAUGGGAUGUUAAGCCCA
rnacentral:rRNA from 1 species